ACCUGCUGACAAGUUCCAAAUAGGACGAAACGCGCGUCCUGGAU
rnacentral:hammerhead_ribozyme from 1 species